rfam:Triticum urartu cultivar G1812 contig717007, whole genome shotgun sequence.
CGCUUUUUUCGCGCAGGCGGAGCUCGACCGCAAACUGAAGUCGUAAAUACCUAUAUCGAUCGCUAUCGGGAUAUCCACGGGGUCGAGCCGAUCUGCAAGGUAUUGCAGGUUGCCCCG